rnacentral:rRNA from 1 species
AACGAACGCUGGCGGCAUGCCUAACACAUGCAAGUCGAACGAGACCUUCGGGUCUAGUGGCGCACGGGUGCGUAACGCGUGGGAACCUGCCCUUAGGUUCGGAAUAACUCCCCGAAAGGGGUGCUAAUACCGGAUAAUGUCUUCAGACCAAAGAUUUAUCGCCUUUGGAUGGGCCCGCGUUGGAUUAGCUAGUUGGUAGGGUAAAAGCCUACCAAGGCGACGAUCCAUAGCUGGUCUGAGAGGAUGAUCAGCCACACUGGGACUGAGACACGGCCCAGACUCCUACGGGAGGCAGCAGUGGGGAAUAUUGGACAAUGGGCGAAAGCCUGAUCCGGCAAUGCCGCGUGAGUGAUGAAGGCCUUAGGGUUGUAAAGCUCUUUUACCCGGGAUGAUAAUGACAGUACCGGGAGAAUAAGCUCCGGCUAACUCCGUG